rnacentral:rRNA from 1 species
AUUGAACGCUAGCGGGAUGCUUUACACAUGCAAGUCGAACGAGUGGCGGACGGGUGAGUAAUAUAUCGGAACGUGCCCAGUAGCGGGGGAUAACUACUCGAACGAGUGGCUACUCCCGCAUACUAUUGGAGCGGCCGAUAACGGAUUAGCUAGUUGGUGUGGUAAAGGCUCACCAAGGCACCGCUCCGUAGCUGGCUUGAGAGGACGACCAGCCACACUGGGAGUGGGACACGGCCCAGACUCCUACGGGAGGCCGCAGUGGGGAAUUUUGGACAAUGGGGGAAACCCUGAUCCAGCCAUCCCGCGUGUAUGAGAAGGCCUUCGGGUUGUAAAGUACUUUUGGCAGAGAAGCGGUAUCUGCAGAAUAAGCACCGGCUAACUACGUGCCAGCAGCCGCGGUAAUUC